rnacentral:lncRNA from 1 species
GAACUAAAAUGGACUAAACUGUUGUUUUUUUUUUUCUGGUGGUUUUUUUUUUUUUUUUGUGUCUGUGGGGGGGGGAGUUUGUUUUUUUGUUUGUUUGUUUGCUUGGGGGUUUUUUUUUGAGAAGAAUAAUGGAGGAUGAAGAUUUAUCCCAGAACAGACUUCUCCCAUCCAGCAAGAAGUGGUACCUUUCUCAAAGAUGGGAUGCAGUCAAAAAAAAGUCAAGCCAAGCAGAAUCCCUGGAGCACUGCUGCACUACUCUGUGACUGAAGGAGCAAGAGGAGGCUUGAGAGUACCAUGUGGAGAGCAGCCACCCAGACCUGCAUGAGCAAUAGUUAGGUUGUCAAUGAACAUCUCAUUUCCAAACUGCUGUUACCUAAAUACUGUGGCCCAGUAGACAAAGCAGCUGUGCUUCCUCUCAGCAAUAUGAAGCUGGCAGCUGAACCUAUUUCGUUCUCUAUCCCCCACUCAGACAUAUUCUUAAUGCAAAAUCACUCCAUUCAUUCUGGGGGAUAUCCCACAGAAUUGCAAUUUCAACCUCCUUAAAAUUCAGUUUAGUUCUGGUACAUGGGAGUCAUGCAAAUGCUAUUUUGGGGUCUAGAAAGUGAAUUCUUCUGC